rnacentral:snRNA from 1 species
AUCGCUUCUUGCCCAUUUGGCUAAGAUCAAGUUAGUAUCUGUUCUUAUCAGUUUAAUAUCUGAUCCAUCCUCUAUCCAAGGACAAUAUAUUAAACGGAGUUUUGGAGUAGGGAGUUGGAAUAGGGGCUUGCUCUGUCACUCCACGCAUCGACCUGGUAUUGCAGGAAAAAAAAAAAUUCAGGAGGGAGCAAAUUGA